rnacentral:rRNA from 1 species
UACGAAGGGGGCUAGCGUUGCUCGGAAUCACUGGGCGUAAAGGGUGCGUAGGCGGGUCUUUAAGUCAGGGGUGAAAUCCUGGAGCUCAACUCCAGAACUGCCUUUGAUACUGAAGAUCUUGAGUUCGGGAGAGGUGAGUGGAACUGCGAGUGUAGAGGUGAAAUUCGUAGAUAUUCGGAAGAACACCAGUGGCGAAGGCGGCCCGCUGGACAUGUAUUGACGCUGAGGUGCGAAAGCGUGGGGAGCAAACAGG